AUUUUCUUAGUACAAGUAGUACUGUUGGCUUCCAACCAUCUAACCCCAGAUAACCUGGGAGAAAAUA
rnacentral:tRNA from 1 species